UGAUCUGUUGGUGGCAAAUUUUUAACUAUGAUAGAUCCUCACCUAACUACUUAAAACCUUAACUUUUUACUAGCCCAACAUAUCAUUAUUCUUGGGUUUGAAAGAACUCGUCCUCAAGUUUUGAUCUUUCACCAAAUAUGAU
rfam:Populus trichocarpa isolate Nisqually-1 chromosome 16, whole genome shotgun sequence.